rnacentral:rRNA from 1 species
GACGAACGCUGGCGGCGUGCCUAAUACAUGCAAGUAGGACGCAGUUGCGAACGGGUGAGUAACGCGUAGGUAACUACCUAUUAGAGGGGGAUAACUAUUGGAAACGCUAGCUCAUACCGCAUACUAGUAGAUGGACCUGCCGUGUAUUAGCUAGUAGGUAGGGUAAUGGCCUACCUAGGCAACGCAACAUAGCCGACCUGGGAGGGGUGUCGGCCACACUGGGACUGAGACACGGCCCAGACUCCCUAGGGAGGCAGCAGUAGGGAAUCGUCGGGAAGGGGGGGAACCCUGAACGAGGAACGCCGCGUGAGUGAAGGAGGUUUUCGGAUCGUAAAGCUCUGUUGGUAAGGAAGCGGUACUUAACCAGAAAGGGACGGCUAACUACGUGCCAGCCGCCGCGGUAAUUC